GAGCCUGCGGCUUAAUUUGACUCAACACGGGGAAACUCACCAGGUCCAGACACAAUGAGGAUUGACAGAUUGAGAGCUCUUUCUUGAUUUUGUGGGUGGUGGUGCAUGGCCGUUCUUAGUUGGUGGAGUGAUUUGUCUGCUUAAUUGCGAUAACGAACGAGACCUUAACCUGCUAAAUAGCCCGUAUUGCUUUGGCAGUACGCUGGCUUCUUAGAGGGACUAUCGGCUCAUGCCGAUGGAAGUUUGAGGCAAUAACAGGU
rnacentral:rRNA from 1 species